GGCCCAUCAAGACGCUGGCGCCAGCAAAGUGAGGGAGGGGCCAGGACAGUGUUCUUCUAGAGUUGGCAAACUAGCAGGUGGAGACCGAGUUGGGGACCUGACAGGAUGGAAAUGCUUACAGAACACAUUGAUCCAUUGACAGAGGAAAACACCACUCCGCUCCCGCCUUCCAGCUAUUGUGUAUGGUGAGGGCUUGGGGUGGUCCAAGAAAAUCUAUUGCCGAAGACUGAAGGACAACUUCCCAUCAGCCAGGACUAGGAUCCAUUGUUUUCCAAUGUUCCACACACACUUCCAACCAGCAACAGCAACCACAAGUCUCCAUCCAUCCAUCCAUCCAUCCCAAACAGGUAAACCUGGCAACAUUUUUGGCAUGACUUGCAAGCUAAUUGUCAUUCAGGCUGAUCCUGUAUUGAACUGAUUCCAACCAAAAACAUCUUCAGUGUCCUUGAAUAAUCAGCAAAAUUGCAAUGUAUUAUUGGCUGUUUCUCUCUUAAGUUCAUCUGUUUACACAGACUGACUCACUGUAUUUAGUCUCUGUGGCAUUUUGCUGUCUGAAGCAUAACAGGUGAAUAUUCAGGCAGUUCUCAUACCUGGGAUGAAUGUCCUGGGGAAUUAAGAGUAGUUUAAUCAACUUCAUUUUCACAAGCUGUAGUAGUAGAGAAAACAAAGGUGGAGAUUUCCAAAAGAGACUGAAGAGCAACUGAGUCCAAACAAUAAAUAACUCUGGACAUAUAAUCUAAGAGUCAAAAUUUCAGCUGGAAAAAAUAGAUGUUCCUCUAACCUCCUCCCCCCUCCAGAUCUUUAAACUAUUGUUCCAGAAUGUAUAUUCUCAAUUUUACAACACACAUUUACCAGAAGGGUGAAUUUAUAUUUAUUUAUGUGAAUAGCUGCACAUGAAUUUAAUAGCAUUUAACUAUUUGUGAAUCAGUAAACUAUUUACACAACUGAUGUACAUGUUAGAAAGGCAUUAAUCUAUAGUGGCAAUAAAAAUAAUUAGGUAAAACAUGCAGUAAA